AUUGAACGCUGGCGGCAGGCCUAACACAUGCAAGUCGAGCGAGCGGCGGAAGGGUGAGUAAUGUCUGGGAAAAUGCCUGAUGGAGGGGGCUAACUACUGGAAACGGUAGCUAAUACCGCAUACCAUCAGAUGUGAGCAGAUGGGAUUAGCUAGUUGGUUGGGUAACGGCUCACCUAGGCGAAGAUCCCUAGCUGGUCUGAGAGUAUGAACAGCCACACGGGAACUUAGACACGGUCCAGACUCUCACGGGAGGCAGCAGUGGGGAAUAUUGCACAAUGGGCUCAAGCCUGAUGCAGCCAUGCCGCGUGUGUGAAGAAGGCCUUCGGGUUGUAAAGCACUUUCAGCGGGGAGGCGUUACCCGCAUAAGAAGCACCGGCUAACUCCGUGCCAGCAGCCGCGGUAAUAC
rnacentral:rRNA from 1 species